AAAAAUUAAAAAGAAAUAAAAAGUACGAUAAUUACGAAUAUACACGAUGUCUCGAAGAGUCAUAUAAAUUUUGAACU